UGCAAGUCGAGGGGCAGCAUGAUUGAAGCUUGCUUCAAUUGAUGGCGACCGGCGCACGGGUGAGUAACGCGUAUCCAACCUUCCGUACACUCAGGGAUAGCCUUUCGAAAGAAAGAUUAAUACCUGAUGGUAUGAUGAGAUUGCAUGAUAUCAUCAUUAAAGAUUCAUCGGUGUACGAUGGGGAUGCGUUCCAUUAGGUAGUAGGCGGGGUAACGGCCCACCUAGCCUACGAUGGAUAGGGGUUCUGAGAGGAAGGUCCCCCACAUUGGAACUGAGACACGGUCCAAACUCCUACGGGAGGCAGCAGUGAGGAAUAUUGGUCAAUGGACGAGAGUCUGAACCAGCCAAGUAGCGUGAAGGAUGAAGGUCCUACGGAUUGUAAACUUCUUUUAUAAGGGAAUAAAACCUCCCACGUGUGGGAGCUUGUAUGUACCUUAUGAAUAAGCAUCGGCUAACUCCGUGCCAGCAGCCGCGGUAAUACGGAGGAUGCGAGCGUUAUCCGGAUUUAUUGGGUUUAAAGAGAGCGCAGACGGGUCGUUAAGUCAGCUGUGAAAGUUUGGGGCUCAACCUUAAAAUUGCAGUUGAUACUGGCGUCCUUGAGUGCGGUUGAGGUGUGCGGAAUUCGUGGUGUAGCGGUGAAAUGCUUAGAUAUCACGAAGAACUCCGAUUGCGAAGGCAGCACACUA
rnacentral:rRNA from 1 species